rnacentral:rRNA from 1 species
UCCUACGGGGGGCAGCAGUGGGGAAUAUUGCACAAUGGGGGGAACCCUGAUGCAGCGACGCCGCGUGAGUGAAGAAGUAUUUCGGUAUGUAAAGCUCUAUCAGCAGGGAAGAAAAUGACGGUACCUGACUAAGAAGCCCCGGCUAACUACGUGCCAGCAGCCGCGGUAAUACGUAGGGGGCAAGCGUUAUCCGGAAUCACUGGGCGUAAAGGGCGCGUAGGCGGUUUAAUAAGUCAGUGGUGAAAACUGAGG